AGUUUAUGGUCUCUGGAAGAGUGGGCAAGCUACUUAUGAGGGUUACAGAUGUUGAUCAUCCCUCCACAGUCAAUGGAGAAAAAGAGAUGCUCCUACAGCACAUUUUAUCUCACUGUUGGCGUAGAGAAAGAACUGCAAGAAAACAAUAGGUUGAGCAGAGGAGAUGUAUGUGCUGAGAAGUCAGUGGAUAAAAGUUUCCCAAGGAGUGAUAAACCCUGGAGCAUAGGUUCCUCAAGAUCUCAUUGAAGCAAAACCCAAACUGAGACCUGAGUCACUUGUUGACUCUUAUCAAAUGAUUUACAAUAUCAGGUUGGAAGGUUUUUAAGGCUUCCUUUCCUUUGAGAAAAAAUACCCGACAACAUCCUUUAAGAAGCAUCACGUUCUGAAAUUAGUCAUGUUAAACCAAAUCAGCAGUGGAAAACAACCUUAGAACUGAGAAGGAGACCCUUAACCCACCAAACCCACCUGAAAUGCUUUGUUGUUCUGAGCAAUUGUAUUUUAGUUUUAGGAGAGGUGUUUUUUGUUUGUUUGGUUUUUUUUUUUCCUUUUCUUUUUUCUUUUUUUAUUUUUCUGAGAACAAUCCAGAGUAUAUAUAAAACUCAAGAAGCCUAUUUCCCAUCAGAAGUUCUUAUUAGUUGAAAAUUGGUUUAGAUCAGUUCUAUGAAAUGUGCUCCUAAAAAUGUACACUUAUAUAAGCUGUUGCCAUGGACUUAUUUUCUUAUAUAAGAGUACAAAUACCUGUUGAUUUCAGGGGAAAAAAGGUGCACUUCAACACAGCAGCAUUUCUAAACCUCUCUGUUAGAGUUUUUGGUAGAUGUUGUCAGGAACUGUGCUGCCUGCAUUUAAUAAGAGCACAGUGAAGGGAUUUCAGAUGGUAGUGACAACACCAGUUUAAGUCUUUUUGCUUUUGUUCCAAAUAUUACUGGGCUUCUUUGCUCCAAACCAUAGCAAAGUCAAGGUAAUGAGUUGCUAGACGUGAGCAUUUUAUGGCAUUUUGUUAUUGCAGGAGAGAAAAUCUUGCUGUAUUGUGUUAAAUAGUUUCUGUGCACCCAACCAACAGUUAUUAAAAGAUGCGGUCAAAUAC
ensembl:lncRNA